rnacentral:rRNA from 1 species
GAUGAACGCUGGCGGCGUGCCUAAUACAUGCAAGUCGAACGCUGGAAAUCUAGCUUGCUAGAUUGAAGGAGUGGCGAACGGGUGAGUAAUACAUAAGCAACCUACCCACGAAGACUGGGAUAAUCUCUGGAAACGGGGACUAAUACCGGAUAGGUAAUCGGAAGGCAUCUUCUGAUUAUUAAAGGUUAAAAACACUGGUGGAUGGGCUUAUGGCGCAUUAGUUAGUUGGUGAGGUAACGGCCCACCAAGACGAUGAUGCGUAGCCGGCCUGAGAGGGUGAACGGCCACAGUGGGACUGAGACACGGCCCAGACUCCUACGGGAGGCAGCAGUAGGGAAUUUUCGGCAAUGGGGGAAACCCUGACCGAGCAACGCCGCGUGAGUGAUGACGGCCUUCGGGUUGUAAAGCUCUGUUGUAAGGGAAGAACGGUAGAUAGAGAAUAUCUAAAUGACGGUACCUUACCAGAAAGCCACGGCUAACUACGUG